rfam:Nocardia soli strain Y48, complete genome.
CUUCAACGACCCCAGCCACAGCGGUGCGCUCUCCCCGCGAUUCUGCCCAUAGGUCGCCAACAGUGCCUGGGCCUC